UUGACGUUCAAAAAUACAGAUUAACUCACGAUGAUUUUAAAUUUGCGUUAUCUAUCCCAGUUUUAGUGGUAGAAAAUUGAAUUUUCGCGUCUCUAGAACCACAACUUGUCACAUGUAUUUUGUUGUUGACUGCAUUCUUGCAUGCGGAUGAUUGACAGGUAAUUAAGGCGACGAAUCGUACCCACGCUAGCUCGGUUCACUGCAUGCCAAACCCUCGAACACUAUUUUGGAUUCUUUCUCAGUUUAGAGCGAGCGUACAACUGACAAACGACUUCUGUAGCCGAAAAAAGCGACACUGGGUUGCGGCUUGUUCAACAGGUAAGGUUUUCAACAUCCACUCAGUAGAUGCCAUAAGAAGCAAAAGAUUGCCCCAUUGGAAAUUUGCUUCAAGAAAGACAACUAGCUUGGCUCGGUGAAAAGGUGAGGUUAUACAUUUUCUCGUUUUUGCCACUUACUUUACUUUCCUAUGAAACGUUCGAUUCUUGUGUGGGCGUUUAGUUUUUCUUUUCGAAGAGGGACCUUUGAGAAACGUUUUGUUCUCUGUAAUUUCUUAUGUUCUGGUUCGUUGCACGGUGUAUUAGCUCAUAUUCGUGACGCGAAAUGAACACUCGAGGCCCUUUCGUUAAACCACUGUCUAAGUAUACUCAAUGCUAUACGUAUGUGACUGGAAUUUCAAUCGAGAUAUUAGCGAUCACCUUGGAAUUCCUGUUGCAUUAGUUGUGAAAUUUCUGGCUUAUGCAAAUAAAUACUUCAAACAUUUGGCAGUCAUCAAUAUAUUGCUUUUGAAGAGUUCUCUCAGACGCACUUGUAUUGGAUCAUGGAGAUUCAUAAAACUAGCUUCGCUCAUUUCUACAAAUUGUCUCUUUAUGAACAAAACCUUUUUUCCAUCAAAAACUGUUUUCCCUAUAUUCUAAAGUAAAACAGAUAAGUAUUCAGGUCUUGUUUAUUGUCUAGAUCAAGCUUUUUAUAGCGAAGAUUUAGAAUAGAUCAUGACAUUAAAUGCAACAUUGAGUAUUGAAGUUUAUGGACCAUUUUGACACAAACUAUAAAUGUUGUUUUGUGGCUUAGUUCUUGGCGUAAUUCUUUGGCGUAUUCUUAAAUGGGGUCGUUCUUUGGUGUCGUUCUUUGGCGUAAUCUCUUGUCACAGUGAAUUCACUACCUUGGAUAAUAAACAGUAGGUGUUUUACAGACAAUCCUGACACGGUUCAUGAAAUAUGUCACUUCCUGACACUAUAAAAUUAAUGCAAAAUGAAAUAUUGGAAGUCCCUUAUGCAGAAGAAACAAUAUCCUAAAGAAAUUAUUAGUAAAUAUAAUUUUUGUUUUUCACUUAAGUCCAUCAAAACUGAACUAGUGUUUUGAACACUGUUGUUUUUCAACAAAGUGUGCUUUUGAAAACACAUUAUCCGUCAACUAAGUAUUGUUUUAUUUAAUAAGGUAGUGUUUUGUUGAGUAAGAAGAAAGCCAAGGGCAUUUAUAUUUCAAUUUCAGCUUGUAAAUUGAAGGCUAGUGUCUAUUAAACAUUGUCUUCUCUCAGACUAUUUCAUGACCAGCAUUAAACUUGAAAAAUCAGGAAUAACGAUUUGUUCUCUUGAAACUCAUCUUGAGUCUUGAAGAAACCGGUCAAAUAACUCGCAUGUCACUCAGACCACCCUUUUUUUAUUGGUAAUUUAUGCUCAUAGUUGUACAAAUUUGUGGCACUUGCUUGCUCGUGUGUGCGUGUGUGUAUGUGUGUUGUAUUUAUCAGGCAAACAGUAUGUUCAGUUGAGCCUUGAUGAAUGGAAAACUCUAGAAGCGGUAAGCAUUAUCCUGUGACAAUAUUAUUGAGUGGUUUGCUCCUAAUGUUGCCACAGUUUUGGUGAAGUGCAUAUAUGUAAAUUGAAUUCCAGUGAAUGUAAUUAAGCUUGGCCUUUUCAAUCCUGACUUUUGUUUGCACUGAACAAGUUACUCUUGGUUUGAAUUGUGUACCCAUUUACAGAGCUGUACAGUAAGUAGAUCUACAUGUACUAAUAAUUCAAAGCAGUUUAGAAAUUGUUAGAGUUAUUUUAAAGUAUUUGACCAAAUGAAAGAUAAAAGCAAUGUUGGUUGUUACAUAACUCAUAUGGUAUUAGAAGUAGCCACUGACAGUAGGCAUACGCUAUUGAAAAAGUUGACUAAAGUUGUCAGUAACUCAUAUUGUAGUAAAACCUGCAGAACACUGUUAACUGCCGCUUAUAAGCGCUGGGCUUAUAUACAUUUUCGUAAGGGUUUUUAGAUGGGCCUUUAAACGGAGGGGCUUGUAUCUGAGGGGGCUUAUAACCGGAAUUAAAUAAAUGUUUUGAAAUGAGCUAUGCUCUGCACAUGUUGGUCGCAAUAGAUUUUUCAUUUAAUACUGGUAAUUUAGCUUUAAAAUAUCACAAUAAAAUAAAUUCAAAACAAGGAAAGCUAGGGGGCAGGGGGGGGGGUGUUUAUAUCUGGGGUUGGGAGGUGGGAUUGUAACUGGAUGGAAUUUUUCGUGUACAGGUAUAUAGGCCUAUAACUAGGUAGAAUCAUAAGUGAAGCGGCUUAUAAGUGGCAGUUUAUGGUAUGAGUCUGAGACAGACUUCAUCAACUGUUUGAACCGUGUCGUCUCCUGACUACAGCUAGUCCAGAAGUGUACAUCAUGUUGAGCAACUUUUGUCAACAUUAUAUUAUGUAGAUACUUCAUAAUUAAAAGUAGAUGGCCACAGAAGCUAUUUUGAAGUAUUUGACCAAAGUUAAAAACAAAGUUGGUAGUUGUUAAGCCAUUGACUCCGGUGCUGCCUGUAACCGCCUGA